rnacentral:rRNA from 1 species
AAACUGCGAUGUGGUGACGGAGUAGUGACACUGCCGCGAUCUGACGGAAUAGAUCGUUGAAGGCUGUAGGUAUUGGAGAGGUAGGCAAAUCCGCCUUUCUAGCUGAACGCUGAUAGUACCGCGAACCUUCGGGGGAGUGGAUAGUGCAGGUAAUCAGACUUCCAAGAAAACCCGCUAAGCUUCAGGUUAUAAAAACCCGUACCGCAAACCGACACAGGUAUCCGGGAAGAGAAUUCUAAGGUGCUCGAGUGAAUCAUGGCUAAGGAACUCGGCAAAAUGGCCCUGUAACUUCGGGAGAAGGGGCGCUGGCAGCAAUGUCAGCCGCAGUGAAAAGGCCCAGGCGACUGUUUAACAAAAACACAUGGCUUUGCAAAAUCGAAAGAUGAAGUAUAAGGCCUGACACCUGCCCGGUGCUGGAAGGUUAAGAGGGGAUGUCAUCCGCAAGGAGAAGCAUUGAAUCGAAGCCCCAGUAAACGGCGGCCGUAACAAUAACGGUCCUAAGGUAGCGAAAUUCCUUGUCGGGUAAGUUCCGACCUGCACGAAUGGUGUAACGAUCUGGGCGCUGUCUCAGCCAUGAGCUCGGUGAAAUUGUGGUCCCGGUGAAGACGCCGGGUACCCGCAACGGGACGGAAAGACCCCAUGCACCUUCACUACAAUUUAACAUUGACAUUGGAUACAGGAUGUGUAGGAUAGGUGGGAGACUAUGAAGCGGCGUCGCCAGGCGUCGUGGAGUCAACGUUGAAAUACCACCCUUUCUGUAUUCGGUGUCUAACUCCGCUACGUGGAGGACAUUGUUUGAUGGGUAGUUUGACUGGGGUGGUCGCCUCCAAAAAGGUAACGGAGGCUUUCAAAGGUAAGCUCAAUACGCUUGGUAACCGUAUGAGGAGUGCAAUAGCAUAAGCUUGCUUGACUGUGAGACAGACAAGACGAUCAGGGUCGAAAGACGGAUAUAGUGAUCCGGUGGUUCUGCAUGGAAGGGCCAUCGCUCAAAGGAUAAAAGGUACGCUGGGAUAACAGGCUGAUCUCCCCCAAGAGCUCAUAUCGACGGGGAGGUUUGGCACCUCGAUGUCGGCUCGUCACAUCCUGGGGCUGGAGAACGUCCCAAGGGUUCGGCUGUUCGCCGAUUAAAGUGGCACGCGAGCUGGGUUCAGAACGUCGCGAGACAGUUCGGUCCCUAUCUGUUGUGGGCGUUGGAAUUUUGAGUGGGGCUGACCUUAGUACGAGAGGACCGGGUUGGACUAGCCUCUAGUGAAUCUGUUGUUCCGCCAGGGGCAUUGCAGAGUAGCUACGCUGGGAAUAGAUAAGCGCUGAAAGCAUCUAAGUGCGAAACUAGCCACGAGAUGAGAAUUCCAUAUAGGACCGUAGAAGACUACUACGUUGAUAGGUUACAGAUGUAAAGAUGGCGACAUCAAAGUCGAGUAAUACUAAUAAUCC